rnacentral:rRNA from 1 species
UCCCUUCGGGGAAGGAUUAGCGGCGAACGGGUGAGGAACACGUGAGGAAUCUGCCUUCAACACUGGGAUAACUCCGGGAAACCGGGGCUAAUACCGGAUACGAGACCUGCAGGCAUCUGCGGGUCUGGAAAGUUUUUCGGUUGAAGAUGACCUCGCGGCCUAUCAGCUUGUUGGUGAGGUAAUGGCUCACCAAGGCGACGACGGGUAGCCGGCCUGAGAGGGCGACCGGCCACACUGGGACUGAGACACGGCCCAGACUCCUACGGGAGGCAGCAGUGGGGAAUAUUGGGCAAUGGAGGGAACUCUGACCCAGCGACGCCGCGUGCGGGAUGAAGGCCUUCGGGUUGUAAACCGCUUUCAGCAAGGAAGAAGCGAAAGUGACGGUACUUGCAGAAGAAGCACCGGCUAACUAUGUGCCAGCAGCCGCGGUAAUACAUAGGGUGCAAGCGUUGUCCGGAAUUAUUGGGCGUAAAGAGCUCGUAGGUGGUUCGUCACGUCGGAUGUGAAAAUCUGGGGCUUAACCCCAGACCUGCAUUCGAUACGGGCGAGCUAGAGUGUGGUAGGGGAGACUGGAAUUCCUGGUGUAGCGGUGGAAUGCGCAGAUAUCAGGAGGAACACCAAUGGCGAAGGCAGGUCUCUGGGCCAUUACUGACACUGAGGAGCGAAAGCGUGGGGAGCGAACAGGAUUAGAUACCCUGGUAGUCCACGCCGUAAACGGUGGGCACUAGUUGUGGGAACCUUCCACGGUUUCUGCGACGCAGCUAACGCAUUAAGUGCCCCGCCUGGGGAGUACGAUCGCAAGAUUAAAACUCAAAGGAAUUGACGGGGCCCCGCACAAGCAGC